GCUGUGAGGCAUGCUGGAGGUAUCAGAAGUGCGAAUGCUGACAUAAGUAACGAUAAAGCGGGUGAAAAGCCCGCUCGCCGGAAGACCAAGGGUUCCUGUCCAACGUUAAUCGGGGCAGGGUGAGUCGACCCCUAAGGCGAGGCCGAAAGGCGUAGUCGAUGGGAAACAGGUUAAUAUUCCUGUACUUGGUGUUACUGCGAAGGGGGGACGGAGAAGGCUAUGUUAGCCGGGCGACGGUUGUCCCGGUUUAAGCAUGUAGGCUGGUUGUCCAGGCAAAUCCGGAUAAUCAAGGCUGAGGUGUGAUGACGAGGCACUACGGUGCUGAAGUAACAAAUGCCCUGCUUCCAGGAAAAG
rnacentral:rRNA from 1 species